AGUAAAAUGGCUGAGUGUUUAGGCGUUAGAUUGUAAAUCUAUGUACGGAUUAUAAAUUCUUUUACUA
rnacentral:tRNA from 1 species